AGGCCAGGCUUACCCAAACUCCGGCCCUCCAGAUGUUGUUGAUCUACAAAUCACAUGAUUCUCAGUCUAUCUAUUUCAUUCAUAGAAUCAUUGGAGUUGUAGUUCAGCAACAUCUGGAGGGCCAGAGUUUGGGGAAGCCUGCCCU